AGCACCUAAGAGGAAAAGUCAUUAUGCAAAAAUUGUUUUCCAUUGUAUAUAAGCAAUCUUAAAAUCAAAAAAUGCAUACCUACUUUAGUGAAGAACUAAGAAUCAAAUCAAAUAGGUAGCUCUUUUCUCAAGCAAUUUAUAAACUAAUUGUGGAGGGGAGGGACAUGAUACAAACAGUUUGUAAAUUACAGGUAAGCUGGCUUUCAGAGUAAUUUUUGUAAGUUUUUUGGAACUAAAAAUUUCCAGUAGACAUACUUUCAUAAAAGGUGGAUUUCUAAACCAGUAUACAAAGCCCAGUUACCUCACAAUAUGCUUACAGAUAGGAUGGUAAUAACCAACUGAAUUAUAUCACCAUAACAUUUAAUGAUGUUUUGAUGGAAAGGGGCAUUUUUAAAACUUCUUCAUAAAGGACUGUUCAUAAUAAAAGACACUAAUUGUUUUAAACUGAAAUUGGGGAUUGCUGAUAGCUAUAAAGAUAAAUUGUAGUACCUAUGCCAAGUAUCAUGUGAGUGGUGUGGAUAAGAAUACAGGUAGAGGCAAAAGUGCCUUCUAGAAGAUCUAGGGCUGGGGCUGUGACGGGAGCUAAGAGAUAAAAGAAAGGAGUUUGGGUCAGUUCUGGAAGUCUUCUCAAUAAAAUGGGCUCUGAAGAAAGCAUUUGGAUGAGGAGAGCUAAGGAGAGCAUUCUGGACACAUCAUAAAUCAUAAAGAUGAUAUAGUGGCUUUACUUUUGAAUAGAUAGAUAAAAAUCAUCAGGGUAUAGUGGCUACCCAAGAAACCCACUCCUAGAAUGUAUUAAGAAAUCUAAUAUACCUUCAUUUAUUGUUUACUAUGUGCAUAAUCAUUUCUAAAUUUCACAGCAAACUCCAGAAGUAGGUGCUAAUAUCUCCAUUUUAAAGAUGAAGAAACUAGGGUCUGGAAUUGUGGCUUAGUGGUAGAGUACUUGCCUAGCAUGUGUGAGGCCAUGGGUUCAAUUCUCAGUACUGCAUAUAAAUGAAUGAAUAAAAUAAAGUUCCAUCAACAUUUAAAAAAUAUUUUUUAAAAAAGAAGAAGAAACAAGGGCUUACUGGUUUUAAAUGACUUGCCCAAAGACACACAGCUAGUAAUAAGCAAGAUGGUUAGGAUUCAUACAUAGAUCUUCCAGACCAAGGCCUUAUUUCUAUGGUACCAUCUUGUCUUGUUCUAACAAUUUGGGAUCAGGCAGAUAUGACUUCAAAUGCUGGCUCUGCCAUUUACUAUUUAUGUCACUGUUAUGGUUUAGAUAUGUCCCCCAAAAGCUCAUGUGUUAAGCAAUGCAUGAAUUUUAAAGAUGAAAUGCCUGGAUUAUAAGAGCCUAGCCCAAUCAAUGGAUUAAUCCAGUAAUAUGGAUUAACUAGGAAGUAACUCUAAGUAGGUAGGGUGUGGCUGGUGGAGGUGGGUCACUGGGAGCAUGCCUUUGGAGUUUACAUUUUGUUCUUCCUUUUUCUGACUGCCACGUCUUGACUUCUUUCCAUGACCACAUUCUUUCACAAUAAUGUUCUGCCUCACCUUGUGCCAGAGUUAUGCAAUCAGUCAGCCCUCUGUGGACUGAGACUUCUAAAACCACAUGCCCCAAAUAAACUUUCCCUUCUGUAUGUUGUUCUUGUCAGGUCUUCUGGUCACAGGGACAAGAAAGCUGACUAAAACAGUUACGAUGUGUAAAUUACUUUGUAAGGCGGUUAAGGGAAAUGCUUAAUCACUGAACUCACCAGUCACAUGAUCCUGGUUUCUUUGAAAGGUAGAUGUCUGACAGUGCUCUCAGAGGAGUCAGAUUAGAAGGCCUUUUGCAAUCAAGAGUGGAAUCAGGAAAAGGAUAACAAUGCAAAGGCCUUUCAUAAAGACCAUUUGAAAGAAUGACACCAAGACACUUUGUUUUAUAUAUUUUUUAAAGAUACUUCAUUAGUGCUGUUUCAAUAUCAAAAUCAAAUGGAAGCUACAAGAUGGAUUUUGAAGAUCACAAAUACUCAGAAUGGAUAAUUGGUUUCACUCAGCUAUAAUAUCAGUAAUAGCUAAUACUAGGGUGUUACUAUAUGGAAGGUACUAUGCUGCUUUCCAAAAUUAUCUCAUUUAAUCCUUUGGUGAUAUUAUUAUUUUCAUUUUAUAGAUGAGAACAUUUAAAUUCAGAAAAGCCAAAUUAUUGGCCUAAUAGCACACAGCCCAAAAGUUUAAAUCUAUAGGUCUCUGAAUCCAAGACCAAUGUUCUUAACUACUAUAGCACUUUGCAGAAAAUACAUAAUUCUGAAAAGUUGUGGAAUUUCUCUUUGUAAAUUAAAUCUUAUUUUUCAUUGAUAAAACUUAUUUAACAUUUCA